AAUGAACGUUGGCGGCGUGGAUUAGGCAUGCAAGUCGUGCGCGAAUCGUAGCAAUACGAGGAGAGCGGCGAAAGGGAGAGGAUAGCAUAGAUACCUACCCUCGGAACGGGGAUAGCUAUGGGAAACUAUAGGUAAUACCCGAUAAUGUCUUCGGACCAAAGGUGUGAUUCCGUCCGGGGAGGGGUCUGUGUCCUAUUAGCUUGUUGGUGAGGUAACGGCUCACCAAGGCCAAGAUGGGUACGAGGCGUGAGAGCGUGUCCUCGCUCACUGGGACUGAGACACUGCCCAGACACCUACGGGUGGCUGCAGUCGAGAAUCUUCGGCAAUGGGCGCAAGCCUGACCGAGCGACGCCGCGUGCGGGAUGAAGGCCUUCGGGUUGUAAACCGCUGUCAGUGCGGAGGAAAUAUAGUGGGGUUCUCCCCAUUAUUUGACCUAUGCGCAGAGGAAGGACGGGCUAAGUUCGUGCCAGCCGCCGCAGUAAAAC
rnacentral:rRNA from 1 species